rnacentral:rRNA from 1 species
GAUGAACGCUGGCGGUAUGCUUAACACAUGCAAGUCGAACGGUACCUUCGGGUAUAGUGGCGGACGGGUGAGUAACGCGUGAGAAUCUAUCUUCAGGUCGGGGACAACAGUUAGAAAUGACUGCUAAUACCGGAUGUGCCGAAAGGUAAAAGAUUUAUUGCCUGAAAAAGAGCUCGCGUCAGAUUAGCUAGUAGGUGGUGUAAGAGACUACCUAGGCUUCGAUCUGUAGCUGGUCUGAGAGGACGAUCAGCCACACUGGAACUGAGACACGGUCCAGACUCCUACGGGAGGCAGCAGUGGGGAAUUUUCCGCAAUGGGCGAAAGCCUGACGGAGCAAUACCGCGUGAGGGACGAAGGCUCUUGGGUCGUAAACCUCUUUUCUCAAGGAAGAUUCAGACGGUACUUGAGGAAUAAGCAUCAGCUAACUCUGUG